GUUUUAUNCUGGCUCAGGAUGAACGCUAGCGGGAGGCCUAACACAUGCAAGCCGAGCGGUAGAGAUUCUUCGGGAUCUUGAGAGCGGCGCACGGGUGCGGAACACGUGUGCAACCUGCCUUUAUCUGGGGGAUAGCCUUUCGAAAGGAAGAUUAAUACCCCAUAAUAUAAGAAACGGCAUCGUUUUUUAUUGAAAACUCCGGUGGAUAGAGAUGGGCACGCGCAGGAUUAGAUAGUUGGUGAGGUAACGGCUCACCAAGUCAACGAUCCUUAGGGGGCCUGAGAGGGUGAUCCCCCACACUGGUACUGAGACACGGACCAGACUCCUACGGGAGGCAGCAGUGAGGAAUAUUGGACAAUGGGUGAGAGCCUGAUCCAGCCAUCCCGCGUGAAGGACGACGGCCCUAUGGGUUGUAAACUUCUUUUGUAUAGGGAUAAACCUUUCCACGUGUGGGAAGCUGAAGGUACUAUACGAAUAAGCACCGGCUAACUCCGUGCCAGCAGCCGCGGUAAUACGGAGGGUGCAAGCGUUAUCCGGAUUUAUUGGGUUUAAAGGGUCCGUAGGCGGAUCUGUAAGUCAGUGGUGAAAUCUCACAGCUUAACUGUGAAACUGCCAUUGAUACUGCAGGUCUUGAGUGUUGUUGAAGUAGCUGGAAUAAGUAGUGUAGCGGUGAAAUGCAUAGAUAUUACUUAGAACACCAAUUGCGAAGGCAGGUUACUAAGCAACAACUGACGCUGAUGGACGAAAGCGUGGGGAGCGAACAGGAUUAGAUACCCUGGUAGUCCACGCCGUAAACGAUGCUAACUCGUUUUUGGGCCUUANGGUUCAGAGACUAAGCGAAAGUGAUAAGUUAGCCACCUGGGGAGUACGUUCGCAAGAAUGAAACUCAAAGGAAUUGACGGGGGCCCGCACAAGCGGUGGAUUAUGUGGUUUAAUUCGAUGAUACGCGAGGAACCUUACCAAGGCUUAAAUGGGAAAUGACAGGCUUAGAAAUAGGCUUUUCUUCGGA
rnacentral:rRNA from 1 species